rnacentral:rRNA from 1 species
AUUGAACGCUGGCGGCAUGCUUUACACAUGCAAGUCGAACGGUAACAGGGUGCUUGCACCGCUGACGAGUGGCGAACGGGUGAGUAAUGCGUCGGAACGUGCCGAGUAGUGGGGGAUAACGCAGCGAAAGUUGUGCUAAUACCGCAUACGUACUGAGGUAGAAAGUGGGGGACCUUCGGGCCUCACGCUAUUCGAGCGGCCGACGUCUGAUUAGCUAGUAGGUGAGGUAAAGGCUCACCUAGGCGACGAUCAGUAGCGGGUCUGAGAGGAUGAUCCGCAACACUGGGACGGAGACACGGCCCAGACUCCUACGGGAGGCAGCAGUGGGGAAUUUUGGACAAUGGGCGAAAGCCUGAUCCAGCCAUGCCGCGUGUCUGAAGAAGGCCUUCGGGUUGUAAAGGACUUUUGUCCGGGAGCAAAUGCCUGGCCUCUAAUACAGGUCGGGGAUGAGAGUACCAGAAGAAUAAGGACCGGCUAACUACGUGCCAGCCGCCGCCGUAAAAC